rnacentral:rRNA from 1 species
UGGGGAAUAUUGCACAAUGGGCGCAAGCCUGAUGCAGCCAUGCCGCGUGUGUGAAGAAGGCCUUCGGGUUGUAAAGCACUUUCAGCGAGGAGGAAGGUGGUGAACUUAAUACGUUCAUCAAUUGACGUUACUCGCAGAAGAAGCACCGGCUAACUCCGUGCCAGCAGCCGCGGUAAUACGGAGGGUGCAAGCGUUAAUCGGAAUUACUGGGCGUAAAGCGCACGCAGGCGGUUUGUUAAGUCAGAUGUGAAAUCCCCGGGCUCAACCUGGGAACUGCAUUUGAAACUGGCAAGCUAGAGUCUCGUAGAGGGGGGUGAGAAUUCCAGGUGUAGCGGUGAAAUGCGUAGAGAUCUGGAGGAAUACCGGUGGCGAAGGCGGCCCCCUGGACGAAGACUGACGCUCAGGUGCGAAAAGCGUGGGGCAGCAAACAGGAUUAGAUACCCUGGUAGGUCCACGCUGUAAACGAUGUCGAUUUUGGAGGUUGUGNCCUUGAGGCGUGGCUUCCGGAGCUAACGCGUUAAAUCGACCG